GGCUCGCCAACGAGUUUGAAUAACUUUUACAGAGCUUUUAACACAUUCUUUCAUUUGAGAAUUUGUCCUUUCUAUUCCAGCAUACCUUGUGUAAGGAAAGAGAAACGGCGAUCAUCUAUACUAAAAGCUCCCAAGUCCCUGUGUAAUGUAUUGGAAGAUGUUGAUCUAAAUGGUGAACGUUUAAAAGUAGUUGAAUUACAAAAGUUAACCUCCCGAAAAUGG